rnacentral:rRNA from 1 species
GACAGAGGUGGCAAGCGUUGUUCGGAAUUACUGGGCUUAAAGGGCGCGUAGGCGGUGGAGUAAGUCUGAGGUGGAAGAUUAGGGCCUAACCCUAAAAUUGCCUUGGAAACUGCAUCACUUGAGUCAGCGAGGGGAUGGCGGAAUUCCAGGUGUAGCGGUGAAAUGCGUAGAUAUCUGGAGGAAGGCCGGUGGCGAAGGCAGCCAUCUGGCGCUGAACUGACGCUGAGGCGAGAAAGCGUGGGGAGCAAACAGG